GAUGAACGCUGGCGGCGUGCCUAAUACAUGCAAGUCGAGCGAACGGACGAGAAGCUUGCUUUUCUGAUGUUAGCGGCGGACGGGUGAGUAACACGUGGAUAACCUCCUUAUAAGACUGGGAUAACUUCGGGAAACCGGAGCUAAUACCGGAUAAUAUUUUGAACCGCAUGGUUCAAAAGUGAAAGACGGUCUUGCUGUCACUUCUAGAUGGAUCCGCGCUGCAUUAGCUAGUUGGUAAGGUAACGGCUUAUCAAGGCAACGAUGCAUAGCCGAAUUGUGAGAGUGAUCGGCCACACGGGAACUGGGACACGGUCCAUGGUCCUACGGGAGGCAGCAGUAGGGAAUCUGCCGCAAUGGGCGAAAGCCUGACGGAGCAACGCCGCGUGAGUUGUAGAGGUCUUCGGAUCGUAAAACUCUGUUACUAGGUAAGAACAUAUUUGUAAGGAACUGAGCACAGCUUGACGGUACCUAAUCAGAAAGCCACGGCUAACUACGUG
rnacentral:rRNA from 1 species